rnacentral:rRNA from 1 species
CCGUCUCGGCCUGGGCUACACACGUGCUACAAUGGUCGGUACAAAGGGUUGCUACCUAGCGAUAGGAUGCUAAUCUCAAAAAGCCGAUCGUAGUCCGGAUUGGAGUCUGCAACUCGACUCCAUGAAGUCGGAAUCGCUAGUAAUCGCGGAUCAGAAUGCCGCGGUGAAUACGUUCCCGGGCCUU